UGCCAGCCGCCGCGGUAAUACGUAGGGUGCAAGCGUUGUCCGGAUUUAUUGGGUUUAAAGGGUGCGUAGGCGGCCUGUUAAGUCAGUGGUGAAAUCCAACAGCUCAACUGUUGAUGUGCCAAUGAUACUGACAGGCUUGAGUACAGACGAGGUAGGCGGAAUUGACAGUGUAGCGGUGAAAUGCAUAGAUAUUGUCAAGAACACCGAUAGCGAAGGCAGCUUGCUAGCCUGUAACUGACGCUGAGGCACGAAAGUAUGGGGAUCAAACAGGAUUAGAUA
rnacentral:rRNA from 1 species